GGUUAACCGAAUAGGGGAGCCGAAGGGAAACCGAGUCUUAACUGGGCGUUAAGUUGCAGGGUAUAGACCCGAAACCCGGUGAUCUAGCCAUGGGCAGGUUGAAGGUUGGGUAACACUAACUGGAGGACCGAACCGACUAAUGUUGAAAAAUUAGCGGAUGACUUGUGGCUGGGGGUGAAAGGCCAAUCAAACCGGGAGAUAGCUGGUUCUCCCCGAAAGCUAUUUAGGUAGCGCCUCGUGAACUCAUCUUCGGGGGUAGAGCACUGUUUCGGCUAGGGGGUCAUCCCGACUUACCAACCCGAUGCAAACUGCGAAUACCGAAGAAUGUUAUCACGGGAGACACACGGCGGGUGCUAACGUCCGUCGUGAAGAGGGAAACAACCCAGACCGCCAGCUAAGGUCCCAAAGUCAUGGUUAAGUGGGAAACGAUGUGGGAAGGCACAGACAGCCAGGAUGUUGGCUUAGAAGCAGCCAUCAUUUAAAGAAAGCGUAAUAGCUCACUGGUCGAGUCGGCCUGCGCGGAAGAUGUAACGGGGCUAAACCAUGCACCGAAGCUGCGGCAGCGACACUAUGUGUUGUUGGGUAGGGGAGCGUUCUGUAAGCCGUUGAAGGUGUGUCGUGAGGCAUGCUGGAGGUAUCAGAAGUGCGAAUGCUGACAUAAGUAACGAUAAUGCGGGUGAAAAACCCGCACGCCGGAAGACCAAGGGUUCCUGUCCAACGUUAAUCGGGGCAGGGUGAGUCGACCCCUAAGGCGAGGCCGAAAGGCGUAGUCGAUGGGAAACAGGUUAAUAUUCCUGUACUUGGUGUUACUGCGAAGGGGGGACGGAGAAGGCUAUGUUAGCCGGGCGACGGUUGUCCCGGUUUAAGCAUGUAGGCGGAGGUUCCAGGUAAAUCCGGUACCUUUUAACGCUGAGGUGUGAUGACGAGGCACUACGGUGCUGAAGUAACAAAUGCCCUGCUUCCAGGAAAAGCCUCUAAGCAUCAGGUAACACGAAAUCGUACCCCAAACCGACACAGGUGGUCAGGUAGAGAAUACCAAGGCGCUUGAGAGAACUCGGGUGAAGGAACUAGGCAAAAUGGUGCCGUAACUUCGGGAGAAGGCACGCUGAUAUGUAGGUGAAGUGAUUUACUCAUGGAGCUGAAAUCAGUCGAAGAUACCAGCUGGCUGCAACUGUUUAUUAAAAACACAGCACUGUGCAAACACGAAAGUGGACGUAUACGGUGUGACGCCUGCCCGGUGCCGGAAGGUUAAUUGAUGGGGUUAUCCGUAAGGAGAAGCUCUUGAUCGAAGCCCCGGUAAACGGCGGCCGUAACUAUAACGGUCCUAAGGUAGCGAAAUUCCUUGUCGGGUAAGUUCCGACCUGCACGAAUGGCGUAAUGAUGGCCAGGCUGUCUCCACCCGAGACUCAGUGAAAUUGAACUCGCUGUGAAGAUGCAGUGUACCCGCGGCAAGACGGAAAGACCCCGUGAACCUUUACUAUAGCUUGACACUGAACACUGGUCCUUGAUGUGUAGGAUAGGUGGGAGGCUUUGAAGUGUGGACGCCAGUCUGCAUGGAGCCAUCCUUGAAAUACCACCCUUUAAUGGCUGGUGUUCUAACGUAGACCCGUGAUCCGGGUUGCGGACAGUGUCUGGUGGGUAGUUUGACUGGGGCGGUCUCCUCCUAAAGAGUAACGGAGGAGCACGAAGGUUAGCUAAUCCUGGUCGGACAUCAGGAGGUUAGUGCAAAGGCAUAAGCUAGCUUGACUGCGAGAGUGACGGCUCGAGCAGGUGCGAAAGCAGGUCUUAGUGAUCCGGUGGUUCUGAAUGGAAGGGCCAUCGCUCAACGGAUAAAAGGUACUCCGGGGAUAACAGGCUGAUACCGCCCAAGAGUUCAUAUCGACGGCGGUGUUUGGCACCUCGAUGUCGGCUCAUCACAUCCUGGGGCUGAAGUAGGUCCCAAGGGUAUGGCUGUUCGCCAUUUAAAGUGGUACGCGAGCUGGGUUUAGAACGUCGUGAGACAGUUCGGUCCCUAUCUGCCGUGGGCGCUGGAGAAUUGAGGGGGGCUGCUCCUAGUACGAGAGGACCGGAGUGGACGCAUCACUGGUGUUCGGGUUGUCAUGCCAAUGGCAUUGCCCGGUAGCUAAAUGCGGAAGAGAUAAGUGCUGAAAGCAUCUAAGCACGAAACUUGCCCC
rnacentral:rRNA from 1 species